GGGAAGGGAGGAGGAAGGAGGAGGUCAGAGGGAGCAAGCGGGGUGAGGGAAUUGAGGAGGGGAAGGAUUGAGAAUGGCUGGAGGGUAGAGGAACCCACCCACGUCCUCCCACCACCACCACCACCCCACUGGAGGCCGUGGGGCUUCCCAGAGCUUACAACAUCUUGCCUGACUUCCAGGCAAAAACUGAUCUCAGCCCCAGGGACACUGACUUAAACUGGCCCUGGGAAUGACAGAUUAGAGAUUGUUUCUGGGCAGUGAGGGCCCCUAGGUCUGGCCCUAGGAACUGAUACUAUUAUCAAAGGACACCUCCUGGAGAAAGGAAUGUUCCAAGGGAAGGAAUUAGGACCGGUGCUGCCCAUGGGCCCUCUAGGGCAGAUGAAGCUGCUGAAGUUUGAGGGGAGGCACCAGCACCGGACUUACAGUGGAAUGGCUACAGAUGGACUUUUACAUGGGUCCUGGGGAUCUGACUUCAAUACCCAUGCUUGCACAGCAAGCGGUCUUGCCCACUGAGCCAUUUUUCCCCCCAAGUUCAAGUGUCUGUUGAUUGUUACAGUUUGAAUCCGUGAUAGCCACACCACCAUGAAUACAUUGAUUUUGUCCAAGUCUA